GGGUGAUUAACAAGCUACAGUGCCCGUCGCUCAGUGAUGGUAAGGCGACGUGAUGGCUAUUAGGGGUGCGUUACGACCGUUAGGUGUGUGUGUAGAAGUAGUAGUAGUAGGAGUAGUAGUAGUAGUAGUAGUAGUAGUAGUAGUCGUAGCAGUAGGAGAAGGAGGAGGAGGAUAAUUUUAGUAGUAGUAGUAAUGACAUUAGAAUAACAUACAAACAAACCAACAAAUCCAAGAAGUAUAUGCAAGUAAAAGCUGUUAUUAUUUACGUAAAAGUGAGUUGAUAAAAAAAAAAGUUGUUACAGGAGAUGAGAAUGCGGGAGUGAGAGGUGCGGCGGGAAACAAGAAAUAAGUAACCGUGAAAAAUAUAAAAGCAUGAAAGCAGUGAAUGUGAAAAAUCCUGAUGAAAUGCAAAGGUUAAAGGAGGAGGCUACGAGAGGAGGAAGGUAACAAGCCACACUAUAAAGUAGAACAAGACUAAUGAAGAGCCUGACAAAUUACCGUUUAUAAAGCAACAUUGCCACGGACGACGAGGAGGAGGAGGAAUGCAAUAAUAAUAAUGAGAUUCGUGGCGAAACUUGAACGAGGGGAAACUUAGAUAAACAAGAAGUUAGAGGGAUCAAAGUGUAAAGUUGGAUGUGUUAAAGCGACGCACAAAAGGCUGGGAAAAAAUUAAAACACAUGCUAUAUACCUGACGAAACAUAAACGAGGGGAAACUUAGAUAAAUUACAGGUUGGAGGUUUCAAAGUGCAGUAUAAUGUUGAACGUUUUAAAGUAACUCACAAAAAGAUGAAAAGAAACAUAGAGGAGUCACGAUAUUCCUGACGAAACAUAAGCGAGGGGAAACUUAGAUAAAUGUCAGGUUGGAGGGUUCAAAGUGCAGCAUAAUCUUGAACGUUUUAAAGCAACACACAAAAAGAUGAAAAAAACCAUAGAGGAGUCACGAUAUUCCUGACGAAACAUAAGCGAGGGGAAACUUAGAUAAAUUACAGGUUGGAGGUUUCAAAGUGCAGUAUAAUCUUGAACGUUUUAAAGCAACUCACAAAAGGAUGAAGAAAAAACAUAGAGGAGUCACGAUAUUCCUGUCGAAACAUAAGCGAGGGGAAACUUAGAUGAAUUACAGGUCGGAGGGUUCAAAGUGCAGCAUAAUCCUGAACGUUUUAAAGCAACUCACAAAAGGAUGAAAAAAAAAAAAAACAGAGGAGUCACGAUAUUCCUGUCGAAACAUAAGCGAAGGGAAACUUAGAUAAAUUACAGGUUGGAGAGAUCAAAGUGCAGUAUAAUCUUGAACGUUUUAAAGUAACUCACAAAAAGAAUGAAAAAAAGUAACAUACAGUGGAAUCACGAUUUUCCUUGCGAGACAUAAGCGACGGACAACGUGGAUAGUGACAGGUUGGAGGGAUCGAAGUGCAGUAUAACAAAAGUAUGAAAAAGCAAACAUAUACAGAGGUGUUACGAUAUACUUGACAAAACAUAAGCGAGCGAAAACGUACCUAAAUGACAAUAUGGAGGGAUCAGAGUAUAAUUUAAUCUUAGGACGUAUUGAAGCAACAACGCCAAGGAUACCAUAAAAAAUAAAAAAAACAUGUAGAAAGUUUACGAGAUUUUUGACGAAAGUUACCCGAACCGCAGAGGAAAUUAUGCAAGUGACAGGAUGGACAGAUUGAUUAACGCAAUACAAGAAUGGAAUAUGAAAAAAAAGGUUAACAUGUGCAAAGAGUUUACGAAAUCCAUGUCGAAACUUAACCGUAGACGAAAAUAUGACUGUGACAGGAUGGAGAGAUUGAUUAGAGCAACAACACAGUAAAGGAUGAAAAAAAAAAUACUGAGAGGGAGUUAUAGAGAUUUAGAACGAAACUAAGCUUUGUAGGAGAGGAAAACAUGGAAAUGGUAAGAAUUACAGAGACGAAACUAAGCUUUGUAAGAGAGGAAAUUAUGAAAACGGGAAGACUUAGAGACGAAACUAAGCUUUGUAGGAGAGGAAAAUAUGGAGAUGGGAAGACUUAUAGAGACGAAACUAAGCUUUGUAGGAGGGGAAAAUAUGGAGAUGGGAAGACUUAUAGAUACGAAACUAAGCUUUGUAGGAGGGGAAAAUAUGGAGAUGGGAAGACUUAUAGAGACGAAACUUAAGCUUUGUAGAAGAGGAAAAUAUGGAGAUGGGAAGACUUAUAGAGACGAAACUUAAGCUUUGUAGGAGAGAAAAUAUGGAAACGGGAAGACUUAGAGACGAAACUAAGCUUUGUAGGAGGGAAAAUAUGGAGAUGGGAAGACUUAUAGAUCGCUGGAAUUGCGGUGACUCUAAAACUUCAAAAAAUAUAAGGAUGGAUGGAUAGAAGAAUAAAAUCAACACAAAAAAAAGAUGAAAAAGAAAACAAAUAAUUGGAGGGAGUUAAAGAGAUGUGAGACGAAAGUAAGCCUGGUCGAAGAGGUAAAUAUUGCAAUGACAAAAUGGAUAGGUAGAUAAAUUAAAGGAACAGUAGAAAGGCUGAGAAAAAUAAUUACGUAGAGGGAUUAACUUAAAUAGAUGCA